UAGGGAAUAUUGCACAAUGGGCGAAAGCCUGAUGCAGCAACGCCGCGUGCGCGAUGACGGCCUUCGGGUUGUAAAGCGCUUUUCGGGGAGAUGAGGAAGGACAGUAUCCCCGGAAUAAGGCUCGGCUAACUACGUGCCAGCAGCCGCGGUAACACGUAGGAGCCAAGCGUUAUCCGAAUUCACUGGGCGUAAAGCGCGUGUAGGCGGCUUAUUAAGUUGGAUGUGAAAGCUCCUGGCUCAACUGGGAGAGGACGUUCAAAACUAAUAGGCUAGAGGGCGACAGAGGGAGGUGGAAUUCCCGGUGUAGUGGUGAAAUGCGUAGAUAUCGGGAGGAACACCAGUGGCGAAGGCGGCCUCCUGGGUCGCACCUGACGCUCAGACGCGAAAGCUAGGGGAGCGAACGG
rnacentral:rRNA from 1 species